UACGUAGGGGGCAAGCGUUGUCCGGAAUCAUUGGGCGUAAAGCGCGUGUAGGCGGCUUGGUAAGUCUGCUCUGAAAGCCCGGGGCUCAACCCCGGGAGGCGGGUGGAUACUGUCAAGCUCGAGUCCGGAAGAGGAGUGUGGAAUUCCUGGUGUAGCGGUGAAAUGCGCAGAUAUCGGAGGAAGACACCAGUGGCGAAGGCAGG
rnacentral:rRNA from 1 species